AGUGAACGCUGGCGGUAGGCCUAACACAUGCAAGUCGAACGGCAGCACAGUAAGAGCUUGCUCUUACGGGUGGCGAGUGGCGGACGGGUGAGGAAUACAUCGGAAUCUACUCUGUCGUGGGGGAUAACGUAGGGAAACUUACGCUAAUACCGCAUACGACCUAAGGGUGAAAGCAGGGGACCGCAAGGCCUUGCGCGAUUGAAUGAGCCGAUGUCGGAUUAGCUAGUUGGCGGGGUAAAGGCCCACCAAGGCGACGAUCCGUAGCUGGUCUGAGAGGAUGAUCAGCCACACUGGAACUGAGACACGGUCCAGACUCCUACGGGAGGCAGCAGUGGGGAAUAUUGGACAAUGGGCGCAAGCCUGAUCCAGCCAUACCGCGUGAGUGAAGAAGGCCCUCGGGUUGUAAAGCUCUUUUGUUGGGAAAGAAAUCCUGUUGGUUAAUACCUGACAGGGAUGACGGUACCCAAAGAAUAAGCACCGGCUAACUUCGUGCCAGCAGCCGCCGUAAUAC
rnacentral:rRNA from 1 species